CUGGUCGUAGCUCAGUAGGUAGAGCGCCUGGUUUGGGGCCAGGAGGCCGCAAGUUCGAGACUUGCCGACCAGA
rnacentral:tRNA from 1 species